rnacentral:rRNA from 1 species
GACGAACGCUGGCGGCGUGCCUAAUACAUGCAAGUUGAGCGCUGAAGGUUGGUACUUGUACCAACUGGAUGAGCAGCGAACGGGUGAGUAACGCGUGGGUAAUCUGCCUUUGAGCGGGGGACAACAUUUGGAAACGAAUGCUAAUACCGCAUAAAAACUUUAAACACAAGUUUUAAGUUUGAAAGAUGCAAUUGCAUCACUCAAAGAUGAUCCCGCGUUGUAUUAGCUAGUUGGUGAGGUAAAGGCUCACCAAGGCGAUGAUACAUAGCCGACCUGAGAGGGUGAUCGGCCACAUUGGGACUGAGACAAGGCCCAAACCCCUACGGGGGGCAGCAGUAGGGAAUCUUCGGCAAUGGAGGAAAGUCUGACCGAGCAACGCCGCGGGAGUGAAGAAGGUUUUCGGAUCGUAAAACUCUGUUGGUAGGGAAGAACGUUGGUGAGAGUGGAAAGCUCAUCAAGUGACGGUAACUACCCAGAAAGGGACGGCUAACUACGUG